AACGAACGCUGGCGGCAGGCUUAACACAUGCAAGUCGAGCGCCCCGCAAGGGGAGCGGCAGACGGGUGAGUAACGCGUGGGAACAUACCCUUUAGUACGGAAUAGCCUCGGGAAACUGGGAUUAAUACCGUAUACGCCUACGGGGAAAGAUUAUCGCUAAAGGAUUGGCCCGCGUUGGAUUAGCUAGUUGGUGAGGUAAUGGCUCACCAAGGCGACGAUCUAUAGCUGGUCUGAGAGGAUGAUCAGCCACACUGGGACUGAGACACGGCCCAGACUCCUACGGGAGGCAGCAGUGGGGAAUAUUGGACAAUGGGCGAAAGCCUGAUCCAGCCAUGCCGCGUGAGUGAUGAAGGCCCUAGGGUUGUAAAGCUCUUUCGCUAGAGAAGAUAAUGACGGUAUCUAGUAAAGAAGCCCCGGCUAACUUCGUG
rnacentral:rRNA from 1 species